GUCUAUGGCCAUGCCACCCUGAACAAGCACGAUGUCUGAUCUCGGAAGCUAAGGGUCGGUCGGGCCUGGUUAGUACUUGGAUGGGAGACCACUUAAGAAGACCACUUAAGAAGGUGCUGUGGGCA
rnacentral:rRNA from 1 species